UGGGGAAUAUUGCACAAUGGGCGAAAGCCUGAUGCAGCAACGCCGCGUGAGUGAUGAAGGUCUUCGGAUUGUAAAGCUCUGUCUUUUGGGACGAUAAUGACGGUACCAAAGGAGGAAGCCACGGCUAACUACGUGCCAGCAGCCGCGGUAAUACGUAGGUGGCGAGCGUUGUCCGGAUUUACUGGGCGUAAAGGGUGCGUAGGCGGAUGUUUAAGUGAGAUGUGAAAUACCCGGGCUUAACUUGGGUGCUGCAUUUCAAACUGGAUAUCUAGAGUGCAGGAGAGGAGAAUUGGAA
rnacentral:rRNA from 1 species